rnacentral:rRNA from 1 species
GACGAACGCUGGCGGCGUGCCUAAUACAUGCAAGUUGAACGCUUGAUUUUCACCGAAGCUUGCUUCACCGAAAAUCAAGAGUAGCGAACGGGUGAGUAACGCGUGGGUAACCUACCUAUCAGCGGGGGAUAACUAUUGGAAACGAUAGCUAAUACCGCAUAACAAUGUUGGAUGCAUAUUCGACAUUUGAAAGUACCAAUUGGUACACUGAGAGAUGGACCCGCGUUGUAUUAGCUAGUUGGUAGUGUAAUGGACUACCAAGGCGAUGAUACAUAGCCGACCUGAGAGGGUGAUCGGCCACAUUGGGACUGAGACACGGCCCAAACUCCUACGGGAGGCAGCAGUAGGGAAUCUUCGGCAAUGGACGAAAGUCUGACCGAGCAACGCCGCGUGAGUGAAGAAGGUUUUCGGAUCGUAAAACUCUGUUGUUAGAGAAGAAUGUUGCAUAGAGUGGAAAAUUAUGCAAGUGACGGUAUCUAACCAGAAAGGGACGGCUAACUACGUGCCAGCAGCCGCGGUAAUACGUAGGUCCCGAGCGUUGUCCGGAUUUAUUGGGCGUAAAGCGAGCGCAGGUGGUUUAAUAAGUCUGAUGUAAAAGGCAGUGGCUCAACCAUUGUGU